CCAGGCCACGGCUGAGGGCUUUGGAGGUCCCAUCAUGUGUCCUUGUGAUGUGUAAAAAAGCAGGAGAGCCUGGAAGUGAAAAACAAAAGGCAUCUUGGCCACCAGCAGAGGAAAUAUCAGGUCUGUGAUGCUCUGGCUGGCCACGGUGCGCACAGAAGCCCACUGAUGGAGAGCUGACCCUGGCGAGCUGGCCAUCUGGUACCCACAGCCUGCUGCAGUAGGAGGAAAGGAGAGCCCAGCAGUGCUGCGGCCAAACAGCCGGCAGCAGUGGCAGCCAGGGAAAUGGCCUUAUUCAUUUGGCAAAAGCCUCUCCAUGCAUCCAUCCAUACGUCUGUUCCCUCACCCACCCCCUGUCUGAAUGAAAAAUCAGGGCCUUCCUGACACGAGGCAGUGCACGCCAGAUGCUGAGCAGUCAACGAGACAGAUGCUGCCAGAGGGACAAAAGAGAGUGAGGUUGGAGGGGAAACGCCUGCCUCCCCAAGGAGAGGAACAGCUGUCUUUGGGAACGGCAGCAUCAGCUUUCCCCUUCUCGACUGUGCAGAGGAAAGGCAGAGAGCAGCAGGAUGUGGCAUCCCAAGUCAGAAGCACUUGCAUGCUCCCUCCCAGCCUCCCUGCAUGCUCCCCUCUCCUUGUGAGGAUGCUGGCACUGAUCUCGAGCCCAUCGUGGUCCCAGGGGAUGACACCAUCUGCAGCAAGGCUGAUGAAUGAGGCUCUGUGCGCCAGCGGCGGGCGGCACAGACAGCGCCCGGCCCACUCAGCUGAGGCAGAGGUACCUGUGAGUGCAACUGGGAGAGGAAGUGAUCAGCCAGCAGAAAAGAAUGAAAUGUAAAGAGACACAGAGGUACCCCAUAAAAUACACAGAAGUCUUGCUUCACCUGUCUUUUAACUACGAGGAUGCAAUGGAAGAUACUUUGUAUUGCAGGAUUGCUGAGAAACUUCAGGAACACCCAAAACCUGAAAGGUUCACCAGUGCUGUGCUAAUAAGCCAAAGAAUUAUUAGUGGGGUUCAAAUGGGUGGUGUAGAUCAACAUCUGCAAAGGACGGGUGUUCUUGCAAGGCUCGUUCAUCAAAUGGAGCCAUGACAUUGCCACGGACCCCACAGGACUAUGUAAAGGACAGGGCUGCCCACUCUGCACUACCUGCAGACACUUGGAGCCAGAGCACAAAAACUAAAGGUCAGAGGCAAAUGGGCCUGCUUUCACUUUCUUCUCUAUGUCCUGUUUCCUACAGCAUCGUUGAGAUGCCACACAACUUGUUCAAAACAUCCAAAGGAGCACCCAUCCCCUACUCACCAAUGAUGUGGGUUUUAGGGUUCCUUAGCUUUAUGGAAAAUCACAGCAGAUUCAUUAAGGACAGGAUUUGACUUAGCCCAGUUAUUUAGAGAGCAACAUACGGAUUAACACAUGGACUUGAGAGAGGGAGAGAGAGACAGAAAAGGAGAUUGAUAAUCAUAAUUAAAAGUCUAUGAGACACUCAUAUACGAUGCAUUGUUACCAGGGUAGGUUGUAUUGUCUCUGCCAGUGGAACUUAAUAGCAAGUCAUUAGCCAUCAAAUCACUAAUACUGAUUUAAAAUCAAAUAAUGUCUCUUUGAGAUUUAUCUGUAAGAGCUUGGGUGUCUGAAAAAUAAUGUGCCACUUAAUCAUUAGACCAAUUAGGGGCUGCAGGUUAAAUAUGCUAUGCAAAGCAGAGACACAGUUUUCUACAAGACAAUAGGUCUGGUUCUGAUUUCAUUUACCGAGAGAGCCUCCACUAAAUCCGAUGUUUGAAGUCAGACCCAUGAGAGCAAAAUUUGGCCCAACCUCUCAGAUUUUUAUCUUUUUUUUUUCUUUUCACCUAGUGUAUGAAGAGAAGAAAACCUCAUUACAUGCGAUCGCCUGCUGUGAAACAUUAUUUUACAUGUAAAUGUAAGUUUUUCAAGGUGUGAGAAAGUAAGAAAAUCAAAUUGAAUUAAAAUAAAAAC
rnacentral:lncRNA from 1 species